rnacentral:rRNA from 1 species
UACGUAGGGUGCGAGCGUUGUCCGGAAUUAUUGGGCGUAAAGAGCUCGUAGGCGGUCUGUCGCGUCGAUCGUGAAAACUUGGGGCUUAACCCUGAGCUUGCGGUCGAUACGGGCAUGACUGGAGUUCGGCAGGGGAGACUGGAAUUCCUGGUGUAGCGGUGAAAUGCGCAGAUAUCAGGAGGAACACCGGUGGCGAAGGCGGUUCUCUGGGCAUGAUCUGACGCUGAGGAGCGAAAGUGUGGGGAGCGAACAGG